AUUGAACGCUGGCGGCAGGCUUAACACAUGCAAGUCGAACGAGUGGCGGACGGGUGAGUAAUGCUUGGGAAACUGCCUGAUGGAGGGGGAUAACUACUGGAAACGGUAGCUAAUACCGCAUACCAUAAGAUGGGCCCCAGUGGGAUUAGCUAGUUGGUGGGGUAAAGGCUCACCAAGGCGACGAUCCCUAGCUGGUCUGAGAGGAUGACCAGCCACCAUGUAACGGAGACACGGCCCAGACUCCUACGGUAGGCAGCAGUGGGGAAUAGUGCACAAUGUGCGCAAGCCUGAUGCAGCCAUGCCGCGUGUAUGAAGAAGGCCUUCGGGUUGUAAAGUUCUUUCGGCGGGGAGGCGUUACCCGCAGAAGAAGCACCGGCUAACUCCGUGCCAGCAGCCGCGGUAAUAC
rnacentral:rRNA from 1 species